UCAUACUGUGAAACUGCGAAUGGCUCAUUAAAUCAGUUAUCGUUUAUUUGAUAGUACCUUUACCUGGAUAACCGUGGUAAUUCUAGAGCUAAUACAUGCUAAAAACCCCGACUUCGGGAGGGGUGUAUUUAUUAGAUAAAAAACCAAUGCCCUUCGGGGCUCCUUGGUGAUUCAUAAUAACUUAACGAAUCGCAUGGCCUUGCGCCGGCGAUGGUUCAUUCAAAUUUCUGCCCUAUCAACUUUCGAUUGUAGGAUAGAGGCCUACAAUGGUCUUAACGGGUAACGGGGAAUUAGGGUUCUAUUCCGGAGAGGGAGCCUGAGAAACGGCUACCACAUCCAAGGAAGGCAGCAGGCGCGCAAAUUACCCAAUCCCGAUACGGGGAGGUAGUGACAAUAAAUACUGAUACGGGGCUCUUUCGGGUCUCGUAAUUGGAAUGAGUACAAUCUAAAUCCCUUAACGAGGAACAAUUGGAGGGCAAGUCUGGUGCCAGCAGCCGCGGUAAUUCCAGCUCCAAUAGCGUAUAUUAAAGUUGUUGCCGUUAAAAAGCUCGUAGUUGAACCUUGGCCCUGGCUGAUCUGUCCUCCUAAUCGAGCGCACGGAUUCGGUCGGGGCUUUCCUUCUGGGGAGCCCCAUGCCCUUCACUGGGUGUGGCGGGGAACCAGGACUUUUACCUUGAAAAAAUUAGAGUGUUCAAAGCAGGCCUUUGCUCGAAUACAUUAGCAUGGAAUAAUAGAAUAGGACAUCGGUUCUAUUUUGUUGGUUUCUAGGACCGCUGUAAUGAUUAAUAGGGACAGUCGGGGGCGUCAGUAUUCAAUUGUCAGAGGUGAAAUUCUUGGAUUUAUUGAAGACUAACUACUGCGAAAGCAUUCGCCAAGGAUGUUUUCAUUAAUCAG
rnacentral:rRNA from 1 species